CCUCCUCCUCCUCCUCCCGCCGGUCCCGCUUGCCCGGCCGGGCCAAACAGAGAUCUCAGUAGGAAUGUAAAGGCUGGAAAGGAGUUCGGUGACAUCGCACCCCCAAGAUCACCGCCUCUGAAGCUCUGUUGGUUGCUGGGAAGCCAGUGUGCGCCAGUUCACCUGCACACACCGGUUCACAGUUGUGGACGCAGGCAUCCUGCGCUGAGGAGUCACCCCGCAAAGUGGUAGCACGGGUAGAGGUCUGGGGAGGCACCUGGUGCCGCAGAAACAUCUAGAAGCUGGGCAAAGACCUCGGAGAGUGGUUACCCUGGAGAUCCUUACCCUCCGUCGGGCACACGGCUUUUUAAAUCCUGACAGGGGCAGCACCGAAAAGCGUCCCUUGGGUGCGUUGGAAGCCAGAGCGCACGUCAGGGUGCCCCACGGCCUGGAAAGAAGUUUGCUGAAGGUCUCAAGCCAACCCAUCCUCCUCCCGCAGCCACGUGAAGGAAAAUUCUGGAGAUGGGUUCUCCGGGACUGGCAACUAAUUGAAUUCCCUGAAAGAUGCUUUCUUCUCUCCCUAGACUGUGAGUUUCUGUCAACUUCCCUGCCAGUUUCAGGAAGAUAAAAUGGUACAUCAGUUCCUUGUAUUCAUAAAAGUAAUCACAAUUCGCAAAAUUGAAUCUCACCAGAAAACCCAGGUAAAGAGGUACUGAUUGUUUAUUCAUUUCACAAAUGAGGCAAGUCAGGGUGAUUUUUCCAACUAUAUAUGGCUAGUAAGAGGCCGUCCCAAAAAGAGUCUUCUCGGGCUCUGGGAGUGGUUAGUUCAUCAUCUUUAGUUUCUAUCACUGAAGUCCUGACUAUGGUUUCCAUAAAACUUCACCUUGCACUGCUCCCCUACCUCCUUGGUUGAGGGAGAUUAUCUGAAAUUAACAUUGCAACUGUCCCAGAAACUAAAACUUUCCAUAUGCUUGCAUUAAAAUAUCACUCUGAGAAUCCCCCAAAACCUUUGUGAAAAAAGCUUUGUAGUCAAAAAAAGACAGAUCAGCAGUUUUUACUAGAGAGGUUGAGUGACUCAGUCUCUCUGAGUGUCAGUUACCAAAUAUGUAAACUGGCAGGGAUGAGACCCGGACUUGCACAGUGUUAGGAUUAGAGAUAAUGUAUCUUGCACAUUUGGUGCAAGAGGUAUUCAAUCUGGCAGGUCUCACAAACAUGAUUCCUUAUAUUCCAAACUUGUAGCCAAAUGGAACAACAGAUCUCAAACUCCAGGAAGCUGAAUGCCUGGAAGUCACAAUAUUAAUAUAACUUAAUCCAUUCUCAUAACAUUUUUACUGGCAUAAAAAACAAAGGAAGAAAGGAAGGAAAGAAGGGAGGGAGGAAGGAAAAAAAAGAAGGAAGGGAGGGAGGGAAGGAAAUUCAUAUUAUACGAGUGCACCUCUCUACAUCUCAAAAAUGAUGUAUUAGUUUUGUGACAAAAUAAUAACAGUGGGUAAAUCUUGGUUAUUCAUUAGACUUUUCUCUCAUCCUUUCUGUAAAUUGAAAUUUUCAAAAAAAAAAAAAAGGUAAAAAAUAAUAAUUCACAAGGUGUUUUUAAGAAGCCCCAUUUCCAUGAGUAUAGCUUAAUGUUUGCAGUUUAUGUAUUAUGUAAGAACUGAAAUUUGAAUUGAAGCAGAUGUGAAGGGUGAGGGAAACACUGCAGCAAAAACCUAAAGCUAGUUCCUGUGCUAUCUCAGAUCCCCUCAAAAUGUUGUCCAGGAUAAUAAUGAACAAGACUUUCCAUUUUGCAAGUCAAACAUUAAGUGUGUUAAGCAAUUCCAAUGAAAAAUAUUUAUUAACUUAAUGUCGUUUCACUCCUUUCCAGGAAAAAUGAGAAAGACCCCUGGCUGGGGUUGCAGCCAUGUAAGAAUCUUUAGCAGUCUUGCUUUUGUGGGUCUGCCCUGUGUCAUCACCACCCCCAUCACACUAGGAUGUGCUUUACAGUUACUGAAGUGAGGGAAAGGCUGGGGGGAGGGGAGAGGUCGCCCGACUUGACAAAUGGGGAGGGGAAGGCUGGUAACAUCUCUGUUCCACUCUGCAGAAGCAUUCUGUCCCUGCUGACAUACCAGUAAACUGUGAUCAGGAAGUGAGGCUUUUGCUGUCUGUGAAUAUAUUGAACAUUUCACAGGAGUCAGCUGCUAAAUGCUUUCAUAGAUUAUUACUUACUUCAUACUCACAAUAAUCCCAUGAUGUAGCUACUGUUACCUUGUUUUAGAAUUCAGGAAACUGAGACUAGAGGGCUAUAAGAACUUGCCCCAGGUCACCUGGCUUUUAAGAGGCAGAAGCAGGACUGCAGUUAGGUCAGUCUGAUCCCAAACCUCUCCCACUGCCUCAGUGGCACACCUAGACCUAAGAUGCCACCUGUCUUCUUUUGCUGUGAUGCUGCCUGCAUCUUCCAGUGAAUGUAAAAUGCCCCCUGCAUUGUGAUUCAACUCUGCCGCUCAUAUUUAUCUGAAUCAGUAAAUUAAUAGGCUGGAUCCAAAUUGACGUCUUAUAAACAAGAAAAUUUAAAGAAAUUAAGCAGCCUAGCAGUGGGUAGUAGAAAGGAGCAGGAAAUAGAAACCAGGUCUCUGUCACUCUCAAACUUGCCAGGGACUCUGGCACUCUGGUUUGUUUUGUAAUAUUAAUAAAUGUUUACUGGGUUCCAGACAGUGGUUCUAGGAGCUUUCUUAUGCCUUAUUUCAUUUAAUAUCACCAGUUUGCAGACAGAGAAGCUUGAUGAACCUGUCCGAGGUCACAGGGAUAAUAAAUAGUGGAGCUGAAGUUCAGACCCUGGUCUGACUCCCUGCAACUACCUGCCCUCUGUUCAAGGUGAUUGUGAGCAUUCAUCUCUGCAGAUGGAAUCACUUAAUAUGUCCUGCUAUUCCAUAUAUGUAUAUUACUACUAUUAUUUUAAUGACAAUUUACUUAGUAGAUUAUAAAGUUUGAUAAUACUCAGAACUGGUGAAAAUGCAGGACACAAACAUUCUCAUAUACUGUGGGUGAAAUUAUCAGUUGCUGCAACCUCUUUGGAAGUGAGUUGGCACUGUCUAUUACAGUUACAACAAAGGAAACUGACUCAGUAGUUACCCUUCUAGGAAUUUAUCCUAUAGGUUUAUUCGUAGCAACAACCAAAGUUCCAUGUUCAAGGAAGUUUAUUGUGGCAUUGUUCAUAAUAGCAAAAACCAGAAACAACCAGAAUGCUAAGCAAAGGGACUGGUUGCAUAAAGGAUUGUCCCUACAUGGAAGGGAUUACAAUGUAGCCCUCAAAAAGAAGGGGGCAGGUCUGUAUGCACUGCUAGGAAGAAAUUGCCAAGACCUGUUACUAAGGAGAAAAUACAAGUUCCUCAGCAGUAUUGCAGUAUGAUUAAAUUUGUAUAAAACCAAAGAGUAUAAAACAUUCCAGGAAAAUUAUACAAGUAAUUAAUUAUUAACAGUAAUUACCUCUGGAAAUUGGGAUGGGGCAGGAACCUUUUUCUUUU